rnacentral:rRNA from 1 species
UACGUAGGGUGCAAGCGUUAAUCGGAAUUACUGGGCGUAAAGCGUGCGCAGGCGGUUGUGCAAGGCCGAUGUGAAAUCCCCGGGCUCAACCUGGGAAUUGCGAUGGAGACUGCAAGGCUAGAAUCUGGCAGAGGGGGGUAGAAUUCCACGUGUAGCAGUGAAAUGCGUAGAGAUGUGGAGGAACACCGAUGGCGAAGGCAGCCCCCUGGGUCAAGAUUGACGCUCAUGCACGAAAGCGUGGGGAGCAAACAGG